ACGUCACUUUAACUAACUAAACGGCUACCAUUAUGGUAUGGGGGCAAACAAAGCGCUUGAAAAUGGAGAAAUGUGUUUUUGAUUGUUCACUUAAUGUUAAUAGUCAUCCGUACUUGAUUUUUUAUAUUUUGUUUCCUGAUCCAAAGAGAAGAAAAUCGUGGCUUUAUGCUUUAUAUAGAACUGAUUCAUCUUGCUAAAACAAACUUAGGUCGCAAAACUUGUCUAAGUAUGCUCAAAACAUUUUGUAUCUGAAUAUUAUGUACAAAAAAGUCAUUGCAAUAAAUCUCAAGUUAUUAAAGUCAGUUAACAAAUAAGUACUGACAAUUCAUUGACUGGAGUGGAAGAUGUUAGUGUCUUGAACCAACAUGAAACAAGUUAACUUAGCUGAGAAUGAUGGUAGUUUAAAAAUAAUGCAGCAUUGGCUAGGAUUGUUCCUAGGUCACAAAAACAAUCUUACAAAGUAAGGUACCU